GCUUUUUUUUUUCCUUUUUUUUUUUUCCCAAGUUUGAAAUAGUUGGGUGGAUUUUACAUGUUGAAUGUUCCUGAUCUGAGACUGUAAUGAAAUACUUGUGUGGAUUUUACAUGUUGAAUGUUCCUGAUCUGAGACUGUAAUGAAAUACUUGUGUGGAUUUUACAUGUUGAAUGUUCCUGAUCUGAAACAGUAUGCUCUGAGUCUCGCUCCAUUCAUAAAUUGGGUAAUAGUUAAAAAGUAGGCUGUCCGUUGCCCAUUGAUUAGUGUCAUGCUAAUGCACAUACAAUAGAUUUUAUCUCCUAAAUAAGCAGUCUUUGUAAACUUCGUCUAGUUCUCAAUGUUUUAAGUGAUAAAUUAUACAGACCUCAGAAGCACUUCGAACUGCACCUGAAGAUCUGACGAGUAGUCGCUUGAGCCCUUGACUUGGGAAUGUUAACAUCAAGUUGAGAAUGUGGACUACAAGCUGUACUGGCUAUUUAUUUUCCUAAGUGCAGUCUGUCUCCUAGACGUUUUAGUUCAUCAUGCUGAUUCUUGAUACUUUAACCAUCACCUCAACCUGGACUGGGAAUUUCAGUGUCUUGCAUAACCAGCAUUCCUGCAGACUCUCGAAUGUUCGGUCUCUUCCCAAGGAGCCACUAGAUGUGUUUGAAUUUGUUUCUUCAUCUUAGCUUGCCAAAUUACCGACUUUUCCCAGAAGAUGGACACCUCUUCGGAAACCUCAGAAUCUGUCAGUAGCUUAUGUAGAUUUCCAGGCUCAGGCUUUUUUUCCUCUCUUGCUCUGAGCCUGCGUUUGCCCUAGGACCUGCUUGCAGUGCUGAUGGGAUUCUGAGCAACUCAGCCUGUGUGGGAGUUGCACACAGCCCCCUGCAGUCCCACUCCAGGCCUUUCUCAAGGGAAAGGAAGCUUUUCAUCCUCAUCAAAAAAAAAAAAAAAAAAAAAGCCUAUGUGAAUGUUCAUACAAGCAGAACUAGGUGCAGUGUGCUGUGUGCUCUAUAGAGGGGAGCUGUCCACAGUCAGCGUGUCCCUGUGAUUUACCACUUGGCAGGGAAGAAAAGUACAUAAGCCACUGGCACGAUGAGAAUACAAAGCCCAGAAUGUUCUCAAAAGUGAAGGAAGCUGGGUAUUAUUCUCCGGUAGAUUGAUCAACAUUUGCAGAAGGCAGAAUUUAAAGAAUUUUAAGGUUAUUUUUAUCGUUAAAUUGUAACUACAUUUUAUAACCUUAAUUCCUGGUUGUAACCAAAUGCAGUUUGUGCUUCUGUCUAGAUUACAGCUCGGCUCUUUGGAUAUGGUUCUGAUUGUGGCUCCAGUGCUAUUGUUUCUAUAGUUUCUAGUUAACUGAGGCGUCUUCCAAGUUACCCAGGGUACAUUGCAGUCUACCACAUGCUUGUUACAGUCUUAGAUCGUCAACAC
rnacentral:lncRNA from 1 species